AAAAGGCUUGAUUUUUCACUGCAAAGACAUGAAAGCCGGGUCAUUUGGUGCUUGCCCUGUUUGAGCGGUGAUACCCCAGAUAGCUAUGCCAUGGAGCCCAUUCGUAUAAUGAAAGACUAUGGGAAAGACUUUGGCUCCAUGGCAAUUGAACUGUAUGUGUGUGCUCGGAGCGCCAUUCAGUAAUAAUGUGCGCUCAGAUCUGAGCUGUCUGGAGAUAUGUUGAAUGUACCUGUUUUUUACAAUGGCUGCACAGUUAUGUUUUUAUGUGUUUUAUUGUCUUUUGCUGCCAUGUGUUCAAUGGAGUUUUGCAUCUGUCCUUGGAGAUAAUUGGAUUACUUCCCAAUUAUCUCCAGGAUAGAAAACUCUGUGGAACUGGUUUUGGGCAGAAAAGCCAUGCUUCCUUUGGUCACAAAGGACUACGAUCUAUCUUUUGAACCACUGGACCAAUUUGGAUGAUUUUGACAUAUGUUUGUAUUUGGAGUAUGCUGAUUCUGAAAAUGUUUAUGUGAAUGUGAUGCAUACUUUUCAAGUUAUGAAUAAUGUGGAAAAAUUGUACUUCUCUGCUUGUGAUAAUUACAUUGUGUAAGGUAAUUGUAUAACAGGCAGAGGGGAGGAUUUUGUGUGGGAGUGUCUGAGUGUAUUGUAUGUGUUUAUUGGCUGUGUUCUAAAACCCUGUGGGUUGUACUAAUGUGUGUAUAUAAGAACAAUAAACCCACAGCUCUGUCUGUUCACUGCUUCACCCUCUACACGGAGCUUUGUCUCGUUUUUGGGGGGAUUUAUUGUAUGCUGUUCCAGUUCGACUGCUAGGAGUGUAAACCUGUUCGUAUGGUUUUUCAUAUUCGUCUGUUUACGGCAUUCGUAUGGUUUCCUGUUCGGCGGAUUGGUGUUCUGCAGUAGCUGUGCCUGUGCAUCUGAAAAGGGGAAUAUUGCCUAAACGGUUUUAACCCCUGGUGUGCAAAACGGUACGUUACAAUUGGUGGCAGCGGUGGGAUUCGAACCACGCCCUGAAGAGACAGGUGCUGGAGCAGGGCUACCAUGGAGAGAGAGGGGAAACAUGGAGAGAGGGAGGAACAUGGAGAGAGAGAAAGAG